AUUUGCUUCCGGACUUCUUUUUUUUUUUUAACUCGCUUGACUUGACUUCCUUGUUCGCGCAGAAAGAGGAACUAACAACACUGCAGCGCUUCUUUUAUUACAAUGGAGACAGAAUAAUCUUUUCUGCGUACAAGCUGCAGAGAUGGCGCAUUGGGUGCAGCAGGGAGAGAUGACGGAGUACAGGAAGAGUAUGAUCAAACGGGAGAUGGAGAUGGGCAUGGUCAUGACGGUCUUCAGGCAGAAGGUGGAGAGACUUACUGUGCAGGUCAUCAUGGAAACACGUCAGAUUGCGUGGACACGUACCGCGGACAAGACUGAUGGUGUCUUGGACCUAUUUGAGAUCAAAGAAGUUCGUCCAGGCAGAAAUUCCAAAGACUUUGAGCGCUUGAAAGAUGGCAAAGAUAAACAUGAGGAGAAUACUUGUUUCACCAUCUUCUAUGGCUCACAAUUUGUCCUCAACACCUUGAGUCUGGGAGCCGAUUCUGUGGAUGAUGCACAUAAAUGGCUAUAUGGACUUGAAAUGUUAGUUCAAGAGACACUGGCCACUCCAACUCCAGUUGUCAUUGACAGCUGGCUAAGAAAGAAGAUGUAUUCUGUCAAUCAGACAAAAACAAACAGCAUAUCCAUGAAAGAGCUGAAGACCCUUCUUCCUUUGCUCAACUACAAGCCUCCUAAUGCUCGCUCUCUGAAAGAAAAAUUCCUGGAAGUGGGAGCAAAACACGAUCGUUUGGACUUUGAGCAGUUUCAUAAAUUGUACAACCUAAUAAUGUUUGAACAAAAUGAGAUUCUUGACGAGUUGAAAAAAGAUGGCUCUUUUAUUUUGGGUAAUACAGACAAGCCUGACGCCUCGGUCGUUCUGCUCCACGACUUCCAAAGAUUUCUCAUCUAUCAGCAGAAGGAGUCUUGGGCUAGCGAUCUGAAUCAGGUGAAAGAGUUGAUGACCACUUUCAUUGACGACACCAUGAGAAAAACCAAUGACCCUGAGUUCACCGUCAGUGAGUUCCUCAGCUUCCUGUUUUCUAAGGAGAACUCUUUAUGGGAUGAGAAGUUGUCCGACAUUAACAAUCAAGACAUGAACAACCCUUUGUCUCACUACUGGAUCAAUUCAUCACACAACACUUACCUGACAGGUGACCAGCUUCGUAGUGAGUCUUCCACAGAGGCCUAUGUGCGCUGUCUACGUAUGGGAUGUCGCUGUGUUGAAUUGGAUUGCUGGGAAGGGCCAGGAGAACCCAUCAUCUAUCAUGGCUGGACCAGGACCACCAAAAUCAAGUUUGAAGAUGUGGUGAAAGCCAUCAAUCAACAUGCUUUUGUGACUUCUGAGUUCCCAGUCAUACUGUCCAUCGAAGAGCAUUGCCCACUAGAGCAGCAGCGUCAAAUGGCUCGAAUCUUCAGGGACGUUUUUGGAGACAAACUACUAAUUGACCCAGUGGAGCAAAUGGCUGAGCAGCUACCUUCUCCCACACAACUGAAGGGCAAAAUUAUCCUCAAACAUAAGAAGCUCAGUGUUGAUGGUAGUGUUGUCACCAAAGACUUCAGGACUUGGCAGAAACAAGGAGACUUGGAGAUGUGGGAUCCUGUGAAUCAGUGCUGGAAUAAGCACUACUGUGUGAUCUCCAAUGACAUGCUGUACUACGCUGAGGAGUAUGAGGAAGAAAAGGAAGACCUCAAGAAGUACCAGGACCUGCAAUGUGAGGACACGUGGUUCCAUGGUCACAUAAAAGAAGGCAGACAAAUGGCAGAGCAACUGAUCCAUGACUACUGUACAGACAUGAGAGGAAGAGACGGAACCUUUUUGGUCCGACAAAGUGAUCGUGUUGCUACAGACUACACUCUCUCCUUCUGGCGCAGUGGGAGAGUCCAGCAUUGCCGUAUUCGAUCUUUUUCAGAGGGACAAAACACAAAUUACUACCUGACUGCAAACCUGCACUUCACCAGCGUAUAUUCGCUGAUUCAGCACUACAGAGAGAACCCUCUACGCUGUCAAGACUUUGAGCUGCGUCUCACUGACCCUGUACCACAUCCCAAUCCACAUCUGCAACAAGGGUGGUUCUACAGUAAUUUGAGCAGAGGCGAGGCAGAGGAUUAUCUGCUUCGAAUUCCCAGAGAUGGAGCAUUUCUCCUCCGACAGAGAGUGGGAGAGCCUGACUCCUUCGCUAUCACUUUCAGAGGUGACGGUAAGGUGAAACAUUGUCGGAUCCAGAAGGAAGGCAGUGUUUACCUGCUGGGGACAACAACUGAGUUUGAGAGCCUAGUAGAGCUAGUAAACUACUUUAAGAAGAAACCCCUUUAUCGCAAGACCAAGCUACGAUACCCAGUCACACCAGAACUUGUGGAACGCUUCAGCACAAUUCAAGUUCCUGACUCCCUGUAUGAGAUGAAGACUUAUGUGGAGCCCAAUGAAAUUGAGUCAUCACUGCCCAAGAGUACGGCACGGGCGGUUUAUAGCUAUCAGGCCAUGAGGCACGAUGAGCUCACCUUCAGUAAAGGGGCUUUGAUACAUAAUGUGUCAAAAGACAAUGAUGGUUGGUGGAAAGGAGACCAUGGUGGAAAAGUGCAGCUUUUUUUCCCCUCCAACUAUGUUGAGGAAGUGUCCAACAACGCCAAACUUGAAAUUCGGCAACAGGGUAUGGAAGACAAUCCUUUGGGUGAACUUUGUAAGGGUGUUGUGGAUAUCUCUAAGUGCAACAUACAAAAUUUGAAAAACGGUAAAAACGGAAAACUGCACGUUUUGACCCUUCAGAAUAUGGAGCAAGACGUUCUGCAUUAUGAUUUGGCAGCAGAAUCUCUGGAGGAGCUUUUUGAUUGGUACAAGGUGGCAUGGGGCAUCACUCAGAGGGAGAUGAGCAAGCAGUUCAGUCGAGAACAAGAGAUCAGACAACAGGAGGAAGUAGAGAAGAAAGCAGAUGUUGCUAUGGAAAUGUCAGACCUGGUGGUCUACUGUCAGCCACGCAGCAAGGAGAAAGACCGCUUUGAUAGCUACAACUACAAGGAGGUUCGCUCGUUUGUAGAGAAUAAGACACCGGGAAAACAUCGGUCAAUGGAGUUCCUGCGGUACAACCACAAGGCUUUGAGUCGGAUCUACCCAAAAGGCCAACGCGUGGAGUCCUCAAACUAUGACCCCUAUCCUCUGUGGUCGGUUGGCUGUCACAUGGUGGCUCUCAACUUCCAGACGGCAGAUAAAUACACCCAGCUGAACCACGCACUCUUCAGUAUGAAUGGACAAACUGGUUAUAUUCUACAACCUGAGCUCCUGCGUUCAGAAAACUACGACCCUUUGCGGGAGAAGAAAGAGCUCAAGUACAAGAUACUACUUAAGCCCCAGAAAUAGGAGAGCCCACCACAGAUGCCCCAGGCACUGCUUCUUCAUAGGAAGACGUGUUCAGGCGGCAGAUUUUGGUCCAGAAUCGCUUCGAAGCCGUCCGGAAGUUGUUUUCCAUGGCUUUCCCGAACUCCUCCCAUGUCCUGGUUUUUGCCUCCGCAACCGCUGAAGUUGCACACCGCUUGGCCCGUCGGUACCUGUCCACUGCCUCCGGAGUCCUAUAAGCCAAAAGAACCCGAUAGGACUCCUUCUUCAGCUUGACGGCAUCCCUCACCGCUAGAGUCCACCAACGGGUUCUAGGAUUAACACCCCAAAUAGUACCGACUACCUUGCGGCCACAGCUCCAAUCAGCCGCCUCGACAAUAGAAUUGUGGAACAUGGUCCACUUGGACUCAAUGUCCAGCACCUCCCUCGUGACAUGUUCAAAGUUCUUCCAGAGGUGGGAAUUGAAACUCUCUCUGACAGGAGACUCUGCCAGACGUUCCCAGCAGACCCUCACAAUGCGUUUGGGCCUACCAGGUCUGUCCGGCAUCCUCCCCCACCAUCGCAGCCAACUCACCACCAGGUGGUGAUUGGUAGAAAGCUCCGCCCCUCUCUUCACCCGAGUGUCAAAAACAUGAGGCUGCAAAUCCGAUGACACAACUACAAAGUCGAUCGUGGAACUGCGGCUUGGAGUGUCCUGGUGCCAAGUGCACAUAUGGUCACCCUUUAUGUUUGAACAUGGUGUUUGUUAUGGACAAACUGUGACGAGCACAAAAGUCCAAUAACAAAACACCUCUCGGGUUCUGAUCCGGGCGGCCAUUCUUCUCAAUCACGCCUCUCCAGGUUUCACUGUCGUUGCCAACAUGAGCGUUGAAGUCCCCUAGCUGAACAAGGGAAUCACCUGAGGGAGCACUCUCCAGUACUCCCUCGAGUGUACCCAAAAAGGGGGGGUACUCUGAACUGCUGUUUGGUGCGUAAGCACAAACAACAGUCAGGACCCGUCCCCCCCACCCAAAGGUGGAGGGAGGCUACCCUUUCGUCCACUGGGUUGAACUCCAACGUGUAGGCUUUGACCCGGGGUGCAACAAGAAUUUCCACCCCAGCCCGAGUGGAAGAGAGUCCAUCCCCUCUCGAGAGAAGUGGUUCCAGAGCCCUUGCUGUGCGUCGAAGUGAGUCCCGACUACAUCAACUACAUCAAGCCAGAAUUUCUCUACUUCGGGCACUAGCUCCGGCUUCUUUCCCCCCCAGCGAAUUGACGUUCCACGUCCCAAGAGCUAGCUUCGGUAGCCGAGGAUUGGACCGCCAAGUGUCCUGCCUUCGGCUGCCGCCCAGCUCACAAUGCCCCUGACCUCUAUGGCCCCUGCUAUGGGUGGUGAGCCCAUUGGAGGGGUGACCCACGUUGCCUCUUCGGGCUGUGCCCGGCUGGCACCAGGCGCUCGACAUCGUGCCCCACCUCGGGGCCUGGCUCCAGAGGAGGAGUUAUCUACAAUGCAACGUGUAUAAAUGUAACGUGGUUAAAUGUUUUU